rnacentral:rRNA from 1 species
GACGAACGCUGGCGGCGUGCCUAAUACAUGCAAGUCGAGCGAACAGACGAGGUGCUUGCUCUUCUGGCGUUAGGGGCGGGCGGGUGAGUAACAAGUGGAUAACCCUUCUAUAAGACUGGGAUUAAGUCGGGAAAGCGGAGUAAAUACUGGGUGAUACAUUGAACUGGAGGGUGCAAUAGAGAUACACGGGUUUGGGGUCAAUUAUAGGUGUAUCCGCGCGGUAUUAGGGAGUUGGUAGGGUAACGGCUUACCGAGGCAACGAUUGGUGACCGAGCCGGGAGGGUGAUCGCCCACACUGGAGCUGAGACACGGUCCUGAGUCCUACGGGAGGCAGCAGUAGGGAAUCUUCGGAAAUGGGCGAAAGCCUGACGGAGCAGCGCCGCGUGAGUGCAGAAGGUCUUCGGAUCGUAAAACUCUGUUAGUAGUGAAAAACAAAUGUGUAAGUAACUAUGCACGGCUUGACGGUACCUGAUCAGAAAGCACCGGCUAACUACGUG